AAAGCCUGGCAGCGUGCCUAAUACAUGCAAGUCGAGCGGAUUGAUGGGAGCUUGCUCCCUGAUAUCAGCGGCGGACGGGUGAGUAACACGUGGGUAACCUGCCUGUAAGACUGGGAUAACUCCGGGAAACCGGGGCUAAUACCGGAUAACUCAUUUCCUCGCAUGAGGAAAUGUUGAAAGGUGGCUUCGGCUAUCACUUACAGAUGGACCCGCGGCGCAUUAGCUAGUUGGUGAGGUAACGGCUCACCAAGGCAACGAUGCGUAGCCGACCUGAGAGGGUGAUCGGCCACACUGGGACUGAGACACGGCCCAGACUCCUACGGGAGGCAGCAGUAGGGAAUCUUCCGCAAUGGACGAAAGUCUGACGGAGCAACGCCGCGUGAGUGAUGAAGGUUUUCGGAUCGUAAAGCUCUGUUGUUAGGGAAGAACAAGUGCCGUUCGAAUAGGGCGGCACCUUGACGGUACCUAACCAGAAAGCCACGGCUAACUACGUGCCAGCAGCCGCGGUAAUACGUAGGUGGCAAGCGUUGUCCGGAAUUAUUGGGCGUAAAGCGCGCGCAGGUGGUUCCUUAAGUCUGAUGUGAAAGCCCACGGCUCAACCGUGGAGGGUCAUUGGAAACUGGGGAACUUGAGUGCAAAAAAGGAAAGUGGAAUUCCAAGUGGUACGGUGAAAUGCGUAGAUAUUUGGAGGAACACCCUUGGCGAAAGCGAAUUUCUGGUCUGUAAUUACACUUGAAGCCCCAAAACCUGGGGAGCAAAC
rnacentral:rRNA from 1 species